CCCAGAUCCACAGAAGUGACAAUGCUGAAUCCUUACCUGCUAGGCCACCAGGGAACAUAUAUAAUUUUAGCCAUUUCUCCCUACCACUCUCAGACAUAGAUGAGUUCAGUCACAAAGGCAAAUCGACUGGUUCCUUUGGCACAGGGAACCCUUUGGGAGGCCAUGUGACAGUAUAAGUGUCUAAUAAGAUUUGGAUAUCUACUGCCUGGACAGACUUCAGUAAUCAUAAGGAAG
rnacentral:lncRNA from 1 species